ACAUGCAAGUCGAACGAUGAAGCCAGCUUGCUGGUGGAUUAGUGGCGAACGGGUGAGUAACACGUGAGUAACCUGCCCCUGACUUCGGGAUAACGCUGGGAAACUGGUGCUAAUACCGGAUAUGACACAGUGCCGCAUGGUGGUGUGUGGAAAGUUUUUCGGUUGGGGAUGGGCUCGCGGCCUAUCAGCUUGUUGGUGGGGUGAUGGCCUACCAAGGCGGCGACGGGUAGCCGGCCUGAGAGGGUGACCGGCCACACUGGGACUGAGACACGGCCCAGACUCCUACGGGAGGCAGCAGUGGGGAAUAUUGCACAAUGGGCGCAAGCCUGAUGCAGCGACGCCGCGUGAGGGAUGACGGCCUUCGGGUUGUAAACCUCUUUCGGCAGGGAAGAAGCCUUCGGGGUGACGGUACCUGCAGAAGAAGCGCCGG
rnacentral:rRNA from 1 species